UCCGGCUUAUCACCGGCGGUCCCUCUAGAGUGCCCAACUAAAUGAUGGCAACUAAAGGCGAGGGUUGCGCUCGUUGCGGGACUUAACCCAACAUCUCACGACACGAGCUGACGACAGCCAUGCAGCACCUGUGUGCAAGUCACCGAAGUGAAGGAAUCCAUCUCUGGAAACCGUCCUGCCAUGUCAAGGGCUGGUAAGGUUCUUCGCGUUGCGUCGAAUUAAACCACACGCUCCGCUGCUUGUGCGGGCCCCCGCCUAUUCCUUUGAGUUUUAAUCUUGCGACCGUACUCCCCAGGCGGAAUGCUUAAAGCGUUAGCUGCGCCACUGACGAGCAAGCUCGCCAACGGCUAGCAUUCAUCGUUUACGGCGUGGACUAC
rnacentral:misc_RNA from 1 species